UGGGGAAUAUUGCACAAUGGGCGCAAGCCUGAUGCAGCCAUGCCGCGUGUGUGAAGAAGGCCUUCGGGUUGUAAAGCACUUUCAGCGAGGAGGAAGGGUUCAGUGUUAAUAGCACUGUUCAUUGACGUUACUCGCAGAAGAAGCACCGGCUAACUCCGUGCCAGCAGCCGCGGUAAUACGGAGGGUGCAAGCGUUAAUCGGAAUUACUGGGCGUAAAGCGCACGCAGGCGGUUUGUUAAGUCAGAUGUGAAAUCCCCGCGCUUAACGUGGGAACUGCAUUUGAAACUGGCAAGCUAGAGUCUUGUAGAGGGGGGUAGAAU
rnacentral:rRNA from 1 species